AUGAACGCUGGCGGCGUGCCUAAUACAUGCAAGUCGAGCGGCAGCGCGUCUAGUUUACUAGAUGGCGGCGGGCGGCGGACGGCUGAGUAACGCGUGGGAAUCUGCCCCAAAGUGAGGGAUAACUGCCUGAAAAGGUAGCUAAUACCGCAUAUGAUCUUCGGAUUAAAGCAUUUAUGCGCUUUGGGAGGAGCCCGCGUCGGAUUAGAUAGUUGGUGAGGUAAAGGCUCACCAAGUCUACGAUCCGUAGCUGGUCUGAGAGGAUGAGCAGCCAGACUGGGACUGAGACACGGCCCAGACUCCUACGGGAGGCAGCAGUAAGGAAUCUUCCACAAUGGGCGAAAGCCUGAUGGAGCAACGCCGCGUGCAGGAUGAAGGCCUUCGGGUCGUAAACUGCUUUUAUAAGUGAAGAAUAUGACGGUAACUUAUGAAUAAGGAUCGGCUAACUACGU
rnacentral:rRNA from 1 species